CCUCUCUCUCCUCCCUCCUCUCCUUUCCCCUUUCCCCCUCUCCCACUCGCUCUCUUGCACGCUCUCUCUCCUUCCCAAUGCAGGGAACUCAAGCUGAACUUGAUCCCUUUGCAGUUCAAAGGUGAGCAAACCAGGCUCGGAGCACAGGCGACGUUAGCCGGCGAAAGCGCACGGCCGGGCGUCCCCAACGGCAAUUAACAAAGAUGCCCAAUUCUGUCUGGAUUUCCGAAGAAAAGCCAAAGGCUUUCGGGCGGGGGUGGAGGGGGAGGUGGAGUCAGAGACAGCUGCCAAGUAGCUUAAAAAAAAAAAUCCAGUUUGCCAAGGGGAGAAAAAGUGUCAGUCGGUUGUGGCCUCGGAAGUGCCCUGGCA
rnacentral:lncRNA from 10 species